AAGGAAAUCGUCUACAGGUUGUUAUUUCUUG
rnacentral:piRNA from 1 species